rnacentral:rRNA from 1 species
GUCUACGGCCAUACCACCCUGAAUGCGCCUGAUCUCGUCAGCUAAGCAGGUUUGGGCCUGGUUAGUACUUGGAUGGGAGACCACCUGGGAAUACUGGGUGCUGUAGGCU